rnacentral:rRNA from 1 species
UUAAGUUACAAAGGGCAUACGGUGGAUGCCUUGGCACGAGAAGGCGAAGAAGGACGCGACUACCGGCGAAACGCCGCGGAGAGGUGGAAGUAACCUGUGAUCCGCGGAUAUCCGAAUGGGAGAACCUGAUUGGGGUAAUGCUCAAUCAUCGGCAGCUGAAAAGAUAGGCUGCAGGAAGCCAACGCGGGGAACUGAAACAUCUAAGUACCCGUAGGAAGAGAAAGUAAAAACGAUUUCCUGAGUAGUGGCGAGCGAAAGGGAAAGAGCCAAAACCGAUCAACAUAUAAAAGGAUGCAACCGUUGUGUUGACGGUGUAGCGGGGACUAGCCAGACUGAAUUGCAAAUAAGUCGGUGAGUAAAAAACUAUAAUAUUAGUCGAAUAACCUGGAAAGGUUAACCAAAGGGGGUGAAAGUCCUGUAGGCGAAAAUAUUAUAGCUCACUGGGCAAGUUACCCAAGUACCACGAAGUAAGUGGAAUUUUGUGGGAAUCCGGGAGAACCAUCUCCUAAGGCUAAAUACUCACUCGUGACCGAUAGUGAAUAAGUACCGUGAGGGAAAGGUGAAAAGCACUCCUAACAGGAGAGUGAAAUAGUACCUGAAACCGUAUGCUUACAAACGGUUGGAGUCCGGCAGCUGCCGGAUGACAGCGUGCCUUUUGGAUAAUGAGCCAACGAGUUGUUCGUAUAUUGCAAGGUUAAUCCGCUAAGCGGAGGAGCCGCAGCGAAAGCGAGUCUGAACAGGGCGAUUAGUAAUAUGCGGCAGACGCGAAACCGUGUGAUCUACCCUUGUCCAGGAUGAAGUUCCGGUAAAACGGAAUGGAGGUCCGAACCAGUAAGGGUUGAAAACCUUUUGGAUGAGGUAAGGGUAGGAGUGAAAGGCCAAUCAAACUCGGAGAUAGCUCGUAUUCCUCGAAAUAGCUUUAGGGCUAGCCUCGAGUAAAAGUAUCGCGGAGGUAGAGCACUGAUUGGGCUAGGGCCCUCACAAGGGUACCAACCCCAGACAAACUCCGAAUACCGCAGAUAUGUUUCUCGGGAGUCAGGCAGUGGGGGAUAAGCUUCAUUGCCAAGAGGGGAACAACCCAGACCAACAACUAAGGCCCCCAAAUAGUAGUUAACAGAGAAAGGAUGUUCGGUUGCUCAGACAACUAGGAUGUUGGCUUAGAAGCAGCCAUUCAUUUAAAGAGUGCGUAAUAGCUCACUAGUCAAGCGACCGAGCGUCGACAAUUUACGGGACUAAAACUACUUGCCGAAGUUAUGGACUCCGACUUGUCGGAGUGGUAGAGGAACAUUCUAUGUGCGUUGAAGGUGUACUGCGAGGUAUGCUGGAGCGCAUAGAAAAGCAAAUGUUGGCAUAAGUAACGAUAAUGCUGGUGGAAAACCAGCACACCGAAAGUCUAAGGAUUCCUGAGCAACGUUAAUCGACUCAGGGUUAGUCGGGACCUAAGCUGAGGCUGAAAGGCGUAGGCGAUGGAAAACGGGUUAAUAUUCCCGUACCCGGUAUAAUUUGUUUGACUGUAAGGAGGGACGCAGGAGUGAAGGUCAGCCGCCUGACGGAUUAGGCGGUCUAAGCAGGUAGGUGGAAGAUGCAGGCAAAUCCGCAUUUUCAAACACCGAGAAGCGAACGGGUGGACGAAUGUCCUGAACUGACCGUAACCAAGCUGCCAAGAAAAGCUUCGUACAGGAGAAUUAUAUCGGCCCGUACCGCAAACCGACACAGGUAGACGGGAUGAGUAUUCUAAGGUGCUCGAGUGAGUCGUGGUUAAGGAACUCGGCAAAUUAACCCCGUAACUUCGGGAGAAGGGGUGCCCUUAGUAAGUGAAUCCCCUGCGGGAGGAGCUGAAGGGGGCCGCAGUGAAAAGGCCCAAGCGACUGUUUAACAAAAACAUAUGUCUCUGCGAAGUCAAUCAAGACGAAGUAUAGGGACUGACACCUGCCCGGUGCUGGAAGGUUAAGAGGAGAGGUCAGCCGCAAGGCGAAGCUUUAAAUCGAAGCCCCAGUAAACGGCGGCCGUAACUAUAACGGUCCUAAGGUAGCGAAAUUCCUUGUCGGGUAAGUUCCGACCUGCACGAAUGGUGUAACGAUUUGGGCACUGUCUCAAUCACGAGCUCGGUGAAAUUGUGGUACCGGUGAAGACGCCGGUUACCCGCAUAUGGACGGAAAGACCCCGUGCACCUUUACUGCACCCUGGCAUUGGGUUCGAAUAAAGUAUGUGUAGGAUAGGUGGGAGACUGUGAAGCGGUGCCGCUAGGUAACGUGGAGUCAACGGUGAAAUACCACCCUUGCUUUAUUUGGAUUCUAACCGCGGCCCUUGAAACAGGGUCCGGGACAUUGUUAGGCGGGUAGUUUGACUGGGGCGGUCGCCUCCCAAAAAGUAACGGAGGCUCUCCAAGGUUCCCUCAGUACGGUUGGUAAUCGUGCGAAGAGUGUAAAGGCAUAAGGGAGCUUAACUGCGAGACAAACAGGUCGAGCAGGUACGAAAGUAGGACUUAGUGAUCCGGCGGUAGCGAGUGGAAGUGCCGUCGCUCAAAGGAUAAAAGGUACGCCGGGGAUAACAGGCUGAUCUUACCCAAGAGUUCAUAUCGACGGUAAGGUUUGGCACCUCGAUGUCGGCUCAUCGCAUCCUGGGGCUGGAGAAGGUCCCAAGGGUUUGGCUGUUCGCCAAUUAAAGCGGUACGUGAGCUGGGUUCAGAACGUCGUGAGACAGUUCGGUCCCUAUCCUAUGCGGGCGCAGGAUACUUGAGAAGAGUUGCUUCUAGUACGAGAGGACCGAAGUGAACGAACCUCUAGUGAGCCAAUUAUCGCGCCAGCGGUAUAGUUGGGUAGCUACGUUCGGACGGGAUAAGCGCUGAAAGCAUCUAAGCACGAAGCCCACUUCAAGAUAAGGUAUCCCCCCGACUUAGUCGGGCUGAAGACUCCUCGGAGAUGACGAGGUUGAUAGGCUGCAGGUGUAAGUGCAGUAAUGUAUUUAGCUGAGCAGUACUAAUAAGUCGUGAGGCUUAACCAU